rnacentral:lncRNA from 1 species
GUAUCUGUUCUUAUCAGUUUAAUAUCUGAUAUGUGAACUAAUGGUUCACAUGAUAUUAAAUUAAUUUUUUAAAGGGAUGAGUCCACCACAAUAGCUUGCUAUUGGAGCUCACAAGUGUCAUUUUUGUGUUGCACUACAACAAAGUUUGACGCACCCUACCAAACCAAGUUCAUGAUUGUCACAAUCAGCAGUUGAUGGNNNNNNNNNNNNNNNNNNNNCUGGCCUAUUGCAAGACCUCCUCCCUCUGUAGUGCUCCACUAUAUUUAGUGUAGGUUCCAAGCUCAACAGCAGAGCCAAUAUCUCCAGCCUGAUCAAGGAAUAUACUUUGACUCUUUGAGUAUGAGCACUCAAUGCCAAGGAAAACCAAAGCUUCAUAUGUAGCACGGUUCAAAUCAAGUCAAAUUCUCUAUCUCACCAUGUGUUUUUAUUAUUUUUUAAUCAUCACCAUCUAUAUAUAGCUAUCCAUGCAAAAUCAAAAAUUAGGCCAAAAACAAACCCCAAUCAGAUCAAUAACACACAACAAAUACAUCAAUUAGAUCAUGUUAGGAGCUAAAAAGAACAUACCCACAGCAAAUGGUACCAACAAAACCGUCAACAUGCAAACCAACUCAGAACCAAUCCGACGAACACAAAACUUCUGAUAACAGAAUGAACACACAGAGAGUCUGCCGGACCACCGCCAAUUAAAAACCCAGACAGGAGUUUACGAAUUGGUGAAAGUAUUGGCAAUUUGGCAUUAAAACAAAGAUAAAAGACGAUCAGGACAAUUGAAACAGAAACUCAAAAUCGAUCAUAUACAGAGCAAUGUCCUCACCUUGAUUAUUUGAUCAUAUACAAAACAAAGUCCAUACCUCGACGAUUAGAUUGAGAAGAGCAACACAGAAUUUCAUUACACGAAACCCAUCUCUCUCUCGGACUACAAAGAGCGACAGAGAAGAUGGUCAAUACUCAACACACUCGAACCCAUCGUGCAGAAGAACCCAUCAACGCCAGACGUCGACGAAAAACACAAACGGCAACAACCUACUCACAGAUGUCAAAUGCAGUUGUAUAAAACAACAGGUGUCAAGACAGAGCAGAUAAUGGUAAUUUUGUAAUUAAUUGCGAACCGAAGGCAUAUUCAUCUUUUUCCAGGCUGAAUAAACAGUUGUAAUGCCUUCCUGC